GUGUCAGCCGCCGCGGUAAUACGAAGGGGGCUAGCGUUGUUCGGAAUUACUGGGCGUAAAGCGCACGUAGGCGGAUAUUUAAGUCAGGGGUGAAAUCCCAGAGCUCAACUCUGGAACUGCCUUUGAUACUGGGUAUCUCGAGUAUGGAAGAGGUGAGUGGAAUUCCGAGUGUAGAGGUGAAAUUCGUAGAUAUUCGGAGGAACACCAGUGGCGAAGGCGGCUCACUGGUCCAUUACUGACGCUGAGGUGCGAAAGCGUGGGGAGCAAACAGGAUUAGAAACCCCGGUAGUCC
rnacentral:rRNA from 1 species